UCAGACAAGUGGAUAGCCGCUGCCAAUUUUCUCUAAACCCCGAUGAAUAUCGGGGCGGACAAAAUCGGUAGAGGAAAGUCCGGACACCGCCAAUUCUAUCCGCGAGCAUAUUCGCCUAAAAACGAAUCGGAUAAAAUUGGUAAAAAGGGUACCACCUAACGGAUGGGCAAUUUGGAGGGAUAAUCCGCCCCGCAAAUGCGGGGUGAAAAACUCUCCUGACGGAAUAGUGCCACAGAGACAAUACUACCGAGCGCGUAAAAUUUUAUGCGCUUGGGAAAGGUGAAAAGUGAAGAAGUGUUUAUCGCUCUUACAAGCCUAAAGCUUGUAAAAACGAGAAAGCUAUUCUUCUUCCCGGCAAGUAAUUGCCGGCGAUGGAAAACCCUACCUGGUGCAACUCGUAAAACGAGGCUUGACCCCGACAGCAAUGUCGGGGCUAGAUAGAUGGCUAUCUUCCCGCUAUUCGGCGGGGAACAAAAUCCGGCUUAUAACUUGUCUGACCAA
rnacentral:RNase_P_RNA from 1 species